rnacentral:lncRNA from 1 species
CAUGUGUUGUUUCCCUCGCACAAAGCUACCUUCCUUUCAGCUGCACACGCAGUGGACGGAGGUACAAGAUCAAGGACUUCAUACCUCAUCUGAUUUCUAAACUGUUCUUUGGACUCUCAAGACUCCUUAUACAGCCUACUUGGGUGAAGCAGAGACAAAAGCUCUCAGAAAAUCUACCCCGUGUUCUGCUUAAUCUGGUACUGAGACACCAGGUCACUGUCAAGGAAUACCAUUACGAAAUGGAUGUUCAGAUGCUUCUUUUCCUCAUGGAACAACAAUUAUAGGCCUUCAAAGUAUCCGGAUUAAGAAAACUUCCAGAUGUCUAUAAAUAAAGUAAGAAUUUUUAAAAUUAUUUAACUAAUA